rnacentral:lncRNA from 1 species
CCCACAAGUAAUGAAGAUACAGCAUGUCCUGCAUAAUAUCUUGAACAAAUUCUUCCAACACAAAGCAUUUUCCUGCAACAGGUAACAAGGGUCAAACAGAAAGAACUUAAAACAAUGAGUCAAUGUUAUUUUUGAAUGCAGCAGAUUAAAAUUUUAGAAUUGAUGGACUUCAAUAACACCCUAUCUCAACUGGGAGGACAGUAAGCAAAACAAGGCUUCGCAGGAGGAAAUCAGAACGCUACUUAGCAAGACAGACAACUGAAACUGGGCAGAUGACAUAGCCAUUUUAGCUAAAGGGGUGAAUUGCAAGCAAAGGCUUUACAUGUGCAGUCAUAUAUGAAAACCUUUCCAUGUUAAUGUUUGUAUCAUAAUAAUUGGUUUAGCACUCUGCAUUGAGAAUGUAUCUUUUUGGCCCAGUUUGGGUGGGGGGGGGGGGGGGGGGGGGGGGGGGGUGCGCAAAAAGAGGCACUAAAACGCCUUCAGCGCUAGGUGGACGGGUAACGCUUUGCUCUGCAGCACAAGUGCCCCCAGAGCGGCGCGACCGCCUUGGCGGAGCAGCAUCUACUGGAGGCGCCGUUGACGGCCCACCGGAGGGGAGAGAAGAGCGGGGGCACGCACGCAGGGUUGCCGCCGGUGUGCGGAGGACUGGAGGCGAGGGCGUGACCGCGCGAGGCUACGGGUAGGAGGGGCAGCCAGUGACGACGCCGCCGAGCCUGCCUGCCGAGCGCGAGUGGGAGAGGGAGCGGAAGAUGAAGAUUGAAGAAGCCGGC